rnacentral:lncRNA from 1 species
AUGAUAACAGAAUUCUAUGAAUUUCAUUUUGAUUUUGUUUCUUCCUAGGACUUACACAAAAUAAACAUGCAUCAGGAUCCUCAAAGACAAGAAAAGAUUGAGAAAACGUGGAAGGUGGCAAAGGCUAAGGAGAAAUAACAACUGAAUGUAAAGCGGAUCCUGGAUCAGAAAAAAAGACAUUAGUGGGAAAAUGGCAGAAUUUCCAUUAAGAUCUGCAGCUCAGUUUAUAAUGUUGUACCACCGUGAAGUUCCUGUUCUCAAAAUAUCUACAAUUAGUUAUGUGGUUCCCUUUAGAGCAAGAGGGCUUGUGAGAUGUUAUAAAGACUGUACAUGGCCUGUUGUUGUACCUCUUCUAUAAUAUGAAAGUGAGUUGACAGUGAGUAUUCUUGUUAUGUUUAUAUGCUUUGUUUUUGUUUUGUUUUGUUUUGCUUUAUUUAUUCAUUCAUUCAUUCAUUCAUUCAUUCAUAUCUCUGGCAGACUCCUUCAGGGACAAUCACAUUCACACAUUCAAUGAAGACUUGAGACAAGGAUCCUACCGCACAUCCUAGGCUUCCCUUGCCACCUCUUCAGACUGGUAUGGAGGGAAUGUGGCUGACUUUGAGUCGGAGUUCCCUCUUGUCCAGCAAGAAAAUGGAUGCAGAAUUGAAUACAAGAGAGGCUAAUGUCCGGGAGGAGACGAGAGCCCCAAGAUCUGCAAAACGAGGACUGAGCAGAUCACCUCCACAUUUCUUCCACGCUACAAUUCUAUGAAUUGGAAAUAAGGAGACUUCAGUAGGAUCCAUACCAUAGAGUUGUGAGGGGUGAAUGAGAGAAGCCAUGUAAAGCAUGAAGCCCAGGAAUAGGAACAGUAAGCGUUUGAGAAUGGAAAUUGCUGUUACCAUUAUCAUCAACAAGAAGUGCAAAAAGUCCAUUUUCCUAAAAAAGAAAUUGUAUAUUUAUAGAAACCACAUUGUUUAUCAUUUAUGAUCAGUUUUAAAGACAUAAGAAGUUUUAAUAUUGGUGUCAAAUGUGAAUUUUCUUUAUUAAAAUAUAAACAAAAAUAAACCCAUGUGUCAGCUGAGAGAGGGGGAUGUUUGUUAUUCAGUGGGCCACAGAGGGACCUUGUUUUAUUUGAUGUUGUCAUGGUC